rnacentral:rRNA from 1 species
UACGUAGGGUGCGAGCGUUAAUCGGAAUUACUGGGCGUAAAGCGUGCGCAGGCGGCUUACUAAGACAGGUGUGAAAGCCCCGAGCUUAACUUGGGAAUGGCGCUUGUGACUGGUAGGCUGGAGUGUGGCAGAGGGAGGUGGAAUUCCACGUGUAGCAGUGAAAUGCGUAGAGAUGUGGAGGAACACCGAUGGCGAAGGCGGCCUUCUGGACCAAUACUGACGCUCAUGCACGAAAGCGUGGGGAGCAAACAGG